UUUAGGGUAGCAUAUUCCCUUUUUGAUGCCAUUUUUGGAUACCCUAUAUAUAGAAAGCACUCACUCUCACAGAAAAAGGUAGGAAAAAGAUUGAACGACUGAAAAACAAAGCUUUUGAAAAGUUUUCUUAAGAAAUUUUGAUUUCUCUCUUCUACUCUGGAGGUUUUUGUUGGGAAUUUCAGAGGUUGAAGAACAGGUCUUGAUUUCCUUCACGAUUGUUUUAAGUUGAUUAGUUGCCUAUUCUUGCUUUGGUUCUAUUCUGGUGUUUUAACCUUCAGUUCUUUUUGGAACCAAGCUCACUCGAAUGUGGGCUGUUUGUUGCUGCUUGUUUUUCUUCUUCAAAUAUUCAGAAAGUUCUGCUUCUUUUCCUUGGUUUUCUUUCCUGCUACCGUUGUUAAGGUAUGUGUAUUUAGUUUCAAAUGAUGUAAUUUGGGUGUUCCAUUUCUAUGAAAAUCUCAAUUUUUGUUUGUUCAUUAAUAUGUGAUAUUGAGUGCCAUUUUCUUGCUUCUGAGCUGAGUUUUGGUCUCGAAGUGUCUGAUGUGAGUAAUGUCUGAAACCAUACUGAAAAUUCGAGUAAUAAUAGAAAAAAUCAUGAAAAAGCAGUAAUUUGAGUGAGCAAUGUGUGUUUGCUAAGGUUUGAUUUGUUCCUAACUUGUAAUGUGUUUUCAUAUCAUGUUCUGUUUCAACAGAUCUAUGGCUCAGGGUUUAACUACCAUCAUUGUUAGCAUGGAAUUUAGGAGUUUGUUAGUGCCUAACUCAAUUGAAAUUUCAUAGGUAUUGAAAGUAGUCAUUUGUAUAUUAAAAUGAUAUCUUCCUUUGUAUUCACUUUUUUUUAGAACUGAAUAUAUAUGGCAUAUUGAGUAACUUCGUGUUGCUUUGAUUCGAUGUAGUUUGCCACUAAUUUUCUCCUUAUGAAAAGAUGGGAGUUUGAAUGCUUGGUUUUAGGUUGAAGAAGUAGUAUGUAGAAGUCAUGAAUAUAUAAUUGGAUUUUUGUGUUAUAAAAUGAGUAAUCAUGUUUUGUCUUUCUCCUCAUUUUAGUUCUUUAAUAUGCUAAAUAUUUCCUGAAAUAGUUGUAUGAAUUUAUUGAUUUUAUGGAAUCUAAAGCUACACUUGAGAAGUGUACAUGCCAAUGAGCCUAUGUGGGGAAACAAGAGUCCAAUGGACUCCAUGGAUAUGUAGCCCACGAUUCGGAGGUCUACAUGAGACUUGUUCAGCAUAUGGGGCUUCAUUGCCUCAAUUUGGUCAUCUGUAUCGUGGGGAAAUAUGCAUUUCUUUUAUGAAUUUCAUUUAAAUCAUUUAUAUAAGUUCAAAUCAAUUCUUCGCUACUCUGGAUUAAAUAGCAUGUUUUAUACAAGUAGUAGAUUGAUGUAUUAAUUUAAUAUGACAUUAAGUUUGGUUCAGUUAAUAGGAUUUGUGAGUUGAGUUACUAUCUUUGAAUUUGCCUGGGUUCGAUAGGCCUCAAGAGGAUUUGGGCAUGAACAUGGCACCGGUAGUCAGCUUCCUUUGGGCCUGCUUUUGGGUCCGGUUGUGUGCCCUGCUUCUGGGCUAAAUUUUGAGCCCAUUGAUGGUUAUGCUUAUCUCUUUGUCUUUCUUAAGAAAAAAAAUGAGAAGCGAGUAUUAACUCUUUGGGCCUGCAGUUGGCCCAAGUACUUGCCGCAAUUUGCUUGGUCUGUCGCCUUGCUUUUUACACUUUUUUUUCAGCAGCUUGAGCCCAGUGUUCGGAUGAAAUUAUCCUAAGCUUAAUCAAGUAUAAUCCCUUUAAAAAUGAUUGGAGGUGUGCCAUCUUUUGUUAAAAUCACCCAUGGCCCUCUUAUUAGUUAAUACAAACUUAGAAGUAAUUAAUUCUUUAAACACCCGUAAUUUGCUUUAGGCGCGUAAUUAAAUUAUUGCAACUACUGGUACGGCUCCCGUAGCGUAGUUGUGAUAAUUAGUUUUAAAUUAGUUUUAAAAUAGGGACAACUUUAGUUUGCCUUUAAAAUGUAUAUAACCUUCUUUGUUUUAAAUUAACUUGAGGUGUGCCAUGCUUUAAAUAUAUAACACAUGACCUUCACAAAUUUAGACCAAAUAAUUUGGGGCGUGCCAUAUACAAAUAAAAUCCUUUAAUUUAUGGCCCUCAUAUAAAUACAAAAUUAGUUUAGAAAUACCUUGAACCUUCGUAAUUUGCUUUAAGCGCGUUAAUUAAAUAAUUGUCAUAGCUACGAGUACGAUUCUCGUGACGUAGUUGUGACGCCUAAUUAUUAAAAUUCGGGGGUACAUUUAUGUGACCUGACAAUAACUUAAUCUUUAAAAAUUAAACAUGUUGUAGAUCAUGGGUACGGUUCCCGUGACAUGAUUCGCAAUGUGUAUCAAACAAACAAGUGUACGACAAUCGUAACUUGUUCUAGAAUAAUUCCAUAAAUUAAUAAAAACGGUUAUAAAGUUAAAAAUGCACAAUAGGUUUAAAAUGUGUAGUAAAGCAGAUAAUAGGCCAAUAUUAAUAGUUUAAGCGAUCAUGCUAAAACAAUGGAACCUGGGAAUGCCUAACACCUUCUCCCGGGUUAACUGAAUUUCUUAUCUAGAAUUUCUGGUUCGCAGACUUAUAAAAUAAAGUCGAAAUUUCCUUGAUUUGGGAUUUUAAUAAACUGGUGACUUGGGACACCAAAUAAAUUAUUCCAAGUGGCAACUCUAAAAAAUUUAAUAAAUAAUCCCAUUUCGAAUAAUGUCACUUUAAUUGGAAAAACUCCCUCAUAUACCCUCUCGGUUGUAAAAAGGAGGUGUGACAUACGCAGAAGCGGAAAGUCAUGAUCUAAGUGAAAACCGCACCUGUGAUGGUUUUUCCGCAGGUACAGCAUCGCAGAUGUGACCCCUUGCCCACGGAAGCGAGAUCCCUGAGCAGAAAUAGGAAAUUUUUGAGGAUUUGGUCUCAUUUUUCAUUUUUGGACCUAGAGAGCUCGGUCUGUGGUGAUUUUUCGAGAGUUUUUCAAGGAAAUCAUUGGGGUAAAAAAUUCUAACUCGGUUUUGGCUAUACUACACGAAUCUAUUGUUGUUUUCAUCAUUUAAUUAGUGUUUUGAGGUGGAAAUUUGGGAAAACAUUUGUGAAAUUCCUUAGGCUAAAUUUUGGGAAUUUGAACUAUUUGAGGCCGGAUUUGAGUAAUUCUUGCAUGCUUGGACUCAUUAUCGAAUGAUUGUUAGAAUUUUAUAAUUUUUGUCGAGUUUUGAGACGCGGGUUUGGGUUGACUUUUUGAGUUGACUUUUUAUUUCUUUGUAAAGAUUAUAAUUUUAUUGUUCGUAAUAGUUUUCUAUAGUUUAUAUUUAUGGUAUGAAGUUAUUUUGGUUAGAUUCGAGCCGUUCGGAGUUGGACAAUUGAGGGAAAGGCUUACUAGUGGAUUGAGGUAGCAUGUUUUGAAGUAAGUGUCUUGCAUAACUUUGUGUGGGGGAAUUAUCCCUUAGUAUUGGUGUUGUUUUAUGAUAAUUGUAAUGUGUGGAAGCCGUGUAUGCAAAGUGACGAGUGGGUACACAUGCUAAAUGUGGAAAUUUACCGGUUAUAACUAUGUGCAUUCCUUUCAUGCCUUAGUUGAGUUAUCUUAUCAUGUUAUAUUUAUCAUCACUAGACUAUUUUCACAUGCUCUACUUGUUUUGUCUCUUACUUGUUAAUUGCUCUACAUGCUUAGUUGAUGUUCUUGUUUCCUCUAUUUCUUAUUCAUUAUUUAACCGUUGAAUUUUUUACUUGAAAUUGUUAUUCUUGGAAUAUCUUGUUGUUGAAAUUGAUAUUGAGUUAUAAAGGUCGUGAUCCAUAUUGAGGCAAGUAGAAAAAGUUGUGAAAUACUAUCUUUGUUGAGUCACUCAUUUCCAAUUGUCAUUGUUGAUACUCUUGUGCAUAUUAUGGUUAAGCCAUGAGCUACUUGUUAUGAAAACACUAUUGUUGUUGGUUUCUUGGCAAGUUGUGAUAUUGAGUACUUGAGGUGCAAUUUGUGAUAUGUUGUGAUAUUGAUACACAUGCGGUGAUAUAAGUUUUUGAGGUUAAAACGCAUGCGGUGUGAUAAAGUGGGCUUGAUACGCAUGUUGCUAGUAGAGGAACUACUUGAAGCCACAAGGUGUGAUAAGGUGAGCCCAAACACGGGAUGCUAUUUCCAAAAAAAAAAUGAUUUUCAAAACUAAAUGCAAGGCUCCCGCGGUGAUAUAACGAAAGAUUAUGAAUUGUUGUUGUGAUUUGAGACUACAAGGCGGUACUUCGGUAGUGACUCUUAUUGAUACUUCUCCAUUACUUCACUUGUGUUUGGUUGUUUCAUUUCCUUUACUUGUUUUUCUUUGCAUCACUUGCCUUAGUUUAGUGUAGUUAAUCUUGGUAUAUUUCUUGCUUGUUUCCUUUCCAUUGUUAUUAUUAUUAUACUGUUAACUACUCGUUUAGUUUCUUAUUUAUUCCAGUAGGGCCUUGACCUAACCUCGUCACUACUCUACUAAGGUUAGUAUUAGAACUUACUGGGUACCGUUGUGGUGUACUCAUGCUACACUUUUGCACAUCUUUUUAUACAGAUCCAGGUACCUCCUACUCGUCUAGGCACUAGCGAGAGCUCAGCUCCGGAGACUUCAAGGUAUACCUACCGGCAUCCGUAGGCCUCGGAUUCCCUCUCUACCUAGUUUAUUUUAUUUUCUUAUCCUUUUAUAGACACUGAUGUAUAUAGGGAUGUUCAGUACCAUCUUAUAGAGCUUGUGACUUGUAUUCGCCGGGUUUUGGAAAAUUGUAUAUGCUGAGUUGUGGAGUUUUCUUUAUUAAUAUUGUUGAGUAUUUGAGAGUUUAUUAUUGUUUACGUUAUAUUCUACAUGAAUGUUUAGGCUUACCUAGUCUUAGAGACUAGGUUCCAUCACGACAUCCUACGGAGGAAAUUGGGGUCGUGACUAGUUGGUAUCAGAGCUCUAGGUUCAUAGGUGUUAUGAGUCACAAAUAGGGUUAGUAGAGUCUCACAGAUCGAUAGGGAGACGUAUGUACUUAUCUUCGGGAGGCUAUGAAACUGUUAGGAAAAACUUCACCUCUUUGAUUAUUU
rnacentral:lncRNA from 1 species